rnacentral:lncRNA from 1 species
CGUCCCUAUAAUCUACUCCUACUAUCACCUGCAGGCAGUGAAUUCUUUUCCUAUCUUGAGAAAAGAAAAAGUUUUGAUUUUGCAAACCUUUUUCGUCAUCUUUGCAGAAUUUUGAAACUUUAGAGUUUCUUUGAAUCGAUGGAUUUCGAGUGAGUUCGCCGGCGAUUCUGUGGUGGUUUUGAGAGGCAUUUAAGGUGGGGCUAAAACCAGGGGAAGACAAGUUGUAGACAUCACGGCUAUACUCAGAGUACAUCGAUCUGUUAUCCAUAUCCAGUCUGUACGAUGCAAGGGUUGUGUAAUUGAGAGCAACCAUUUGCCGCAUGGCGGACGUGGUGCUUUGCCUUCUGAAGGCGGUAGCCCUUCUGACCUCCUCUUCCUCGCCGGCGGUGGUUUAUACUAUUAGCUUCCUGCUUCUGUAAAUAUUUGUCGAAUCAUAUAAUUCGAUUUAAUUAUUACUUAAUUUGAUAAGGAUCUGUCUGCGUUUUGGGUUUGGGGUUGGUGGGUCUUCUUUGUAAUUGUUG